rnacentral:lncRNA from 10 species
CCGUAAUGAGACUGAAGAAGUCUUUCAUGAUGGUGACAGAGAAUGGUGUCAAUUCCUAAAGUUUGGUCAAUCUCUCUAAAUGGAGAGACUGACCAAAAAUGGGGAAUUGUUAAAUCGAACUAAAUAUGGCCUGAGAAAGCCUCUGUAACUCCAUUUUUGAGUCCUUGUGGAUGAACUGUAUCCUACCUUAGUGGGUAGAUAAGAUUGAAAACCUAACUUAGGAAUAUGCUUCUAUAGCAACAGCUGAGUCUCAGCCCAUCCCAUCAGCCAUACUUCAACCACUCAUAUGCUGCUGACUGUUCAAACUGUGUUCAAAUAAGGCAGACACUAAGCUGUAACCAAUCCAGCUGUUUCUGAACCUCACUUCUGUUUUCUCUACGCCACUUUCCCUUUUUUUGUCUAUAAAUUUGCUGUGAUCACGAGGUAUCCCUGGGGUCAUUCUGCAUCUGCUGUGAUUCUGGAGGCUGUCCAAUUCAUUAACCUUUUUUUUCCUUGCUCUAUUAAACUCUUUUGAAUUUAAUUUGUCUCAAGUUUUCUUUUAACAAUGUAAACAUUUAGCAAUGGGGAAAUGAUUUGUAGCCAAGACACUAAUCCUGGACCUAUAACUUGGCAAAGUAAAACACAAACUUUUGUUCUUCUUUGAUUUGCACCCACAUGAUGGAUGUGCAGUCUGGCAUUUUUUUUGGAAGGGUGUGGAGCUUACAUAUACAAGACAUUAGGGCCAAGGUCAAAGCCUGACUGAUUACACUGGUAAAGAUGCAAGAAGACACUUUUAGAUUUAGCGUUUAUUACUUAGAUAGAUAUCAAAAGAGUAAACCAAAAGUGCCAAACCCCUCUCAUUCAUAUUCCACACAUCAGAAAAGACCACACCCAAACAAAAGGGCCCAAUAACUGCACUGGGAACUGCUGCUGCUGAGGAGCGAACGGUAGACUUCAGCUAAAAGGUUUUGGAUCAGUAGUGGGUGGGGCCAGAGUCUUCCCGGACACUGAAAAAUCUUCCUGUCUUGUCUUACACUAAUCUGCUUUAUAAUCCCCAUGAGCAGAUACUCCUGCUUGAGAAUUCAUAUUUAUUCCCAGUGAUCAAGUCAUUCCAGAUCAAGGACAAAGCUUAUCAGUCAAUCAGAGUUUAGGGUUCUGGAGCCAGACCCUCGCAUCUAACUCAUCUUACACACUCUUGGCUUGUCUGAUUGUAAACUAAACAUUGUUCGAUAUCUGUCAUGGGCAGAUGCUAUGCAUGAAGAGUGGUGGGCAUAGAAAAGUGAAAGACACUGUCCCAUGCAGCUUUCUUGGCAUACCUUAUUGUCUCUGUUUGUUUUCUAAAAUAAGCCUUUGUGAAUUCUAAUGUUAUUUCUCAUCAAACAAACUUGACAGUAGUUCCAAAUAGCCAGAAAAUGGCACUUUGAAUUUUUCCAUCCUGCAAGAUCUAAAUAAUUCUUAUAAUAAAAUAGGCAAAUGGUCUGAGGUGCCUGACAUCCAGGCAUUCUUUUACAAAUCAGUCCCUUCCUAGUCUCUGUGCCCAGUGCAACUCGUCCCAAGUCUUCCUUCUUUCCCUCCCGCCUGUCCCCUCAGUACCAUCCCAAGCGUUGCUGAGUCUUUCUAAUCUUCCUUUUCUACAGACCCAUCUAACCUGUCCCUUCCUCCCCAGGCUGCUCCUUGCCAGGCCGAGCUAGGUCCCAAUUCUUCCUCAGCCUCCGCUCCUCCACCCUAUAAUCUUUUUAUCGCCUCCCCUCCUCACGCCUGGUCUACCUUACAGUUUCCUUCUGUGACUGGCCCUCCCCGACCUGCCCAGCAAUUUACUCUUAAAAAGGUGGCUGGAGCUAAAGGCAUAGUCAAUUUUAGUUAUCCCCACCUGCCCAGUUCCCUUAUUAGGCUGAGACACUUUAACUAAAUUAUGCACUUCUGUGACUAUUCCUGGACUACAGCUAUAUCUCAUUGCCGCUCUUCUUCCCAAAGAAGGCUCUUCCCAAAGCCUCUUUUGCCUCUUCCUCUUGUAUCCCCCCACCUUAACCCACAAGUAUAAGAUACCUCUACUCCCUCCUUGGCGACCGAUCAUGCACCACUUACCAUCUCAUUAAAACCUAAUCACCUUUACCCCACUCAACGCCAAUAUCCCAUCCCGCAGCACACUUUAAAAAGAUUAAAGCCUGUUAUCACUCGCCUGCUAGAGCAUGGCCUUUUAAAACCUAUAAACUCUCCUUACAAUUCCCCCAUUUUACCUGUCCUAAAACCAGACAAGUCUUACAAUUUAGUUCAGGAUCUGCGCCUUAUCAACCAAAUUGUUUUGCCUAUCCACCCCAUGGUGCCAAACCCAUAUACUCUCCUAUCCUCAAUACCUGCCUCUACAACCCAUUAUUCUGUUCUAGAUCUCAAACAUGCUUUCUUUACUAUUCCGUUGCACCCUUAAUCCCAGCCUCUCUUCGCUUUCACUUGGACUGACCCUGACACCCAUCAAGUUCAGCAAUACCUAGGCUGUACUGCCGCAAAGCUUCACAGACAGCCCCCAUUACUUCAAUCAAGCCCAAAUUUCUUCCUCAUCUG